rnacentral:misc_RNA from 1 species
GAAAGGAUUAAAUUAAUCAUAUAAAAUGAUUGGAACAUAUAUAUGAUUCUACAAAAUCAGGAAAUUACUUUCCAUUCAACUUAUCCACAAUCCCCCAUCAUUGCCAAGAAAAAAGCCCAUUAUAUUGACAACUUCAGCUCUACCUGGAUUGCUAGUUGGAUUUCCAAAUCAACAAAAAUCCAACACCUGCAAACCCAACAGCUUGAUGAUAGCGAAGGUAUAGUGCCACAAAAAUGAGACAGAGAGAGAGAGAGGAAAAAGUAGGAGAAAAGAGGCAGGAGAGCACAUACAAUUUGUACCAGACGAUGAAAAAGAACGCCUUCAAAUUCAAGUUCAUUCUACACUUCUCAAUACAAAUCACUCCAUCCCAAACAACAUGCAUUAGGAUAUAGAUCAAUUCUUAGCUUGCUUUUUGUAUACAAAACAUAUCUUUCUCACGUAAGCCCCCAUCACUACCAAAAAUGUCAAUACACACUUAUAUAGUAAAGCCUAAUUUAAUACAAGGGCAGUCUUGGAAGCAAACCCCCGAACUCAACUGGCUCCUUUACCAUGUGAUACUGUCGAUAAACCUCCCCCAAACAUAAGAUAGACACACUUCAUAUAGAGACAAGUUAGAACUAGCACCCAACAUUGCCAGUGCCCCGACGGCAGUCGGAGGCAAUAGCUGACACAGCAACAUCUGUGGCAUGGGAACCGCUGAUUACUGGCAGGACAAACACACAUGCUCCAAAAGCCAAAUAAGAAUGGGGAUCCAUUACCCCCUUGUCUUGGCCCUCUUCAUACCAAGACUGCUGUGGAAGGGGGAGACUGAACCAGACAUUGGAGAACCUUCUUCGCGAAGUGUACCAUUCAACAUUGCUAGCUCUCUUAGCUGCUGCUUCUUAUAGAAAUCCUGAGAUUCGUCCACAGGCUUCAGUAAGUCUUCAAGUAUCUCAUGUGCUUGCAUUAGGCGAAUAUCAACUAUUUCAACUGGUAACUCUGCCUCAACUAAGAUAUGAAGAGGUUCAUUUAGAUGCUCGUACCCUGGUUUCCCUCUCAUCAUUUCUUCCUUUAAUGAAUAAAUAAUCUUAAUGUUAAUAUAAUAAAACAAAAUUGACUGAAAAUAAUUCACACACAAGAGAGGAAAGCUCAAACAAAGGAAAUAGCUCACAGCAACAAGAUAACUGUUCCAAAAUACACCAAAUGCUUUCAAAGUAUUAAUUAAAAAAUUGUUUUGAAAUUAUUGAAAAGCAUAUUAGGACAAUGCGUAUAAUCCUCAUUAGUAGAGCAAGCAAAUUCAACAAUCUAGUUUACUGUAGAGUCUUUUCCAACUAUCUUCCAUAAGUAAAAAAGAGAAAUUGUUUAGUCAUAAAUCAUAAUACAGCACUUUCACUUACCACACUAGAUUCACCUCAAUAAGGUUAAAACUGAUCCUUAUCAAGACUCAUGUAGUUUAGGGACACAGGUUGUUCUUCUAAAUUAUAAAUCAGCUCAUCAGUUCCCUUGCUUUCAAUAUAUUUGUAAUCAAAAUGACAUUUCAUGUUUAAAAUCAUAAAUGGUAUUCAGAAACAUGAAUGCACACAUAAUCAUAACCAAUGAGAAAAUUCUGAAUAUUACCCUAGCUGGAUCCUUAAUGCUGCCACGCCCUCUGAUCAGAACACGGCACUCAGUACUUGCUUCCACUCGCUUAAGUGAGUUCCCCCUAGGGCCAAGAAGUCGCCCAACAAAGUUGUAAUUAGGAUAUUUGCCGACUGGAAUAUCAACUCUGAUAGUUCUCUUAACAAUAAGACCAGAUGAGCUGCCUUGAGAACUCAGCCAGUUCUGUGCUGAUGAAGACUGUAAUAAACCCGACAUCUACACAACAAAAUUCUAAAUGUUGUCAACCUCAACGAUAUAAGAAUCAAGCUGCCUCAUUUUCCAUGGAGAACUGAUGAGAAGCUUCAUAGUCUCGAAAACAUUUUCAGCUUCAUAGGGGAAGCCAAAGACAAUAUUCAUGAGGUAUUACACCAGGAGAGGGAAAACACAAAACCACAGUAGUAAAUUGAAAUGCACCUUGACAUGUACAACAGUAAAGACCACAAAGCAGUUCAUACUUCAUAUUCAACCAAAACGACUUGAGUUAAUUAAUAUGGAAGAUUAUAAACCUAUAACGAAGCGUGAUGGGACCAAAAUGUUAAAUGAAUUCGACAACCACUGGCAAGCUGAACAGACUAGUCAUCUUUUACUUUGUACAAGGCAUCCACCAUGCCACUUCAGCAACAUUGCAGAACAAAUAACAACAUUUGAUUAACUAAAGGUCAGCAUUCUGCAGAAGACGUAUUAUAACUCCAGUUGUCUUAGCACUCCCCUAAAUCGAGUAAACCUAGCUUAGUACUUAGCAUGUCAGGCAUCCUGAUUAAAAGAUGUAAGGCUAUGAAAAAUGUUCAUGUAAUAGGUCUCCAUAUUGCGAUCAGAAUGUGAAAAAUCAUAUAUUUGGUCUCUGUGAAGCUUUAGGAAAAGUAUGGGGAAGGAGAACCAGCUAACUAAAAGAGAGUUCUGAAACAGCAUGUUAAAGUUAAGAUCUACUUUCACUGGUCGAUGAUGUUAGCCUCAGACCCAUAUUACCUGUCAUGAAAAGCUUGCCAAUUUAAAGUGCAAACUCAAACAAAGUUAAAAGUUAGCAUAAAAUGUAAAACAUCUAGUCAGGAAAACAGUAAAAUUAGAUGGAAAAGAAGGUUAUGUUAAUGGUUAGUAUCCGUACUUCUGAUUGAAACCGUGAUGCCCAUCCAUUUGAAUUGGCUCCUCCCUUUGAAAAUAUUCCUCCAGAAGCCAUAGGGCUAGCAUGUUCAAGCCCACUUUGACCUAAAACUGAUGCAUUCCCCAACAGUGUAGUUACACGCAAUAUU